ACUAGCGAAGGAGACGGACUAACCCGGAGAAGACCGUGCGUAUUAAUCCAAUGAUUGGAUCGACAGAUGAGGAGUGAGAGCGCGAAUUAACCAGACAUAUGCACGUGGAUUGAAGAUAGAACUGAAGACUGAAGAAAGGGGAUUCCAACAAUAUAUUUCUUCAUCUUGGACCUAAAACACAAGUGUCUGAUGAAGCACGUCAUCACUACUCUCUCACCAAUCCGUCAUGAGUUCUGAGGCAGCAAGACAAAGUGGUCUACGGAAAUAUGAACCGGAGGUCGUUUUCUGUCUUUGGUUAUCUAGCUGUAUGAGUGUUAAAUACCUGUCAUAAAGCUAGAUAACCGAAAGUAGAAAUUACUUCCACAUUCUUGUUCAGGUGGAAAAUAAGGCCUAGGGUAUACAGGUGGAAAAUAAGGCCUAGGGUGUACCUACAACUAAAUUAGGCCUAGGCCUUUUAACAAGUUUCGCCAAGUUCUACCUCAAAGGCGACUAAUUCACAACGUGGUGUGAUCAAGGAGCACAAAAAGGGGACAGAAUCAACACAAAAAGAGAAUGAGAAGGAGAAUUGCCACACAACACCCCACCCCCUUUACCCACCGGCCUCUAAUGCCAUCUGAACUGCCAAAUGGGAGACAAGAGAUGCCGUGCCUGUGCCAAGAGGGGGACAAAGCCAGAUCUCCGGAGGAUGGGCACGCUGAGAGUGGAGAGAGGGGAGCCAUCUUGGGAGACAUUGCCGCGGCACUUAAGGUGGCUGGGCUGGCAUACGAAGAGUGGUCAGGAGGGAGAUUCUGCAUACCCUAUUGGUGUUCCUGGUACAGUAUGGACCAAACCACUAAACAACCAUCAGACUGUUGGAAACCGUCACUGUCAUAGACAGUUUAUACAUCUGGCAUGAGGACCUACAGUACACUGCCCACCGAACCAGAGGACCACAACAAGCAAGAGGGAAGAGAUACUUUGGCCCCCCUAAAAAAAAAAUCAACUCCUUCCAUAGAAGAAUGUGGGCAGGACAAUGUCUGAAAAUACUUAUCUCAGCACCCAGAACCAAAGCACAAGAGACUAGAAAAUACUGAAGAAAUCUGAUAUUUUCUUAAUUGAAUACAUUCACACUUUGACUUUCACUCUUGAUUGAUUUUGUUGUUCUUUUACUGAUUCAACUAAAUUAUCAUGAAAAACAUUAUGAACCCACUUAUGCUCUCAAAUCACAAGUGACAGUUAUAUACUCAGCUGUAUUUGAUGUAAAAGUACUGUAAAUGUAUGGAUUUAUUGUUUGAUGGUGUGUAUGUAUGAGUGUGUGUGUGUGUGUUUGUGUGUGUGCGUGUGCAUGCAAGUAUGUGGAUGACAUUGCUGUUUACAAACCCUGAAGAAAGUGAUUUCACAUUAUUUUCAAUAACAUUAUGCAAUUUGCAUUGUACAAUGAUAAUUUGUGUCUUGCUUCAUGCUUAUCAAUCUUUUAAGUGAUGGCAAAUGUAGGGAACCAAAAUAACACAUUGGGUGGGGAGUAGGACUAAGGACACCUGCCUCAAACUGGAAUGAGAAAAGUAGCACAGGAGUAUGUUGAUUAAAACAAUUGUAAUCUACCAUGCUGCAAAAAAACUGCUCUUUGAAGCUGGCCAGUAGUGUCAGCUAAGCAAGCAACCUAUAAUGUAUCCCUCUUGUAUAAGUACAUUGGACAGCGCCAUACAAACAAUUCUAUUGAAAUACAAUGGUUGGGCUACAGCUCUUUUCUUUUGCAUUUAGGCUUAUAACAAACUCAUUUAUGCAGUUGAGAGUAAAAAACAAUGGUGGACAAGACGGACGGUGCGUUCUGGAAGUGGUUUAUAUCAAUCAGGUUGUCUGGGAUUUUGACAGAUUCACACGCAAAUGUGUGAGAAAGUGUCUCCGCGUGACCCCACCACCAGCUGUCAUUAGGCUUUGGUUAGCUACUGAAUGGCAGCGACGUGAGGACCUGAGGUUAGGACGUGCACGGAAUCCCGCCCCCGUUUCCCGUUGUGUGGGAAACAUUAGGCCUACCAGGCACACGCCUCAUUGAAAAAAACACCCAUUACAAUUCCCCUAAUAUUAAAAUAGGCAUUUGCAGGGUGGCAAAGUAGUUUAUAUUGUGUUAAAACGCAUGCCUAGACAACAUACGAAAAAGAGCCAGAAAAUACGAAUUCAGUAUUUUCUUAGUGAAUUCCUUUGCCUCAGACACAUGAUUAAAUGUCAAUUAGUAGGCUAAAUCUAAUCGAAUUAAAAAUUCUCAUAUUUAACGGAAUAAUUUCUGAAGUAGGUUCAAUCUGAAGUUAGAAUCAUGUUUUGAUGGAGUUGUUUACCCUGAAAAGAGGCUGCUCCUAAUUCUUGAUUUGACAAACUUGAUUAGUGACACCAAUUUUUUACACCUAAUCUGGUUUAGGAUUAUACAUUGUAAGUCUGAUUCAAUGGACCCUUGACUCCAAUUUCUCACCCUUGACCUCAAUCAGUGUCCAUACUGAUGUCCAAAUUCAACAACACAUGGACAGGAGUAAGGUCAAGAGGGGAUAAUUUCAGAGUCUUUGUGUUGUUAUAAUCAAAACAUGUUUGAUGGUGACAGACAAAAUGUAGUAAAUUAAUGCUUAUCAUUGGUAUUGUUGAUAACACUUACAAAGAUGUCUAGGAUAUUGCUUAAUUGAUGUUGAAAAACUGUGCAAAUAUUGCUGUUUUGGUGGAGUGAAAUGAUUGAAAUACAUUGAAAUGUA